GUGCUCCAACAGGGCCCCUGAGCAGGACUGGAGGCAGUCAGAGAAGGACCUGUGGGAGCAGCUGGUAGAAAGCAGGCGGCAGAGGGCCGAGCUGGCCAGCCAUCUUCGAGCAGUGCUGGAGGCCCUAUCGGAGCAAGCCCUUGUGCUGCAGAGGCGAGAGCAUGAGCUGGGACUCAGCUGGUCCUAAAGCAGAAACAUGCCACAGCAGUUCUGCUGGCCUCCAUCCUGAAACCCGUCAGCAGCUGGAGAGCAGCUGGAGAGGCAAUGUAUCUCAGACCCAGCUGGAGGCAGAGGAUGCACAGCUGGAGCGUGUCGUGAUAGAUAACAGCCGAAAGCAGCCCCUCAGGGCCCCAGGGCAGGGGUCCAUGCUGGGCUGUCAGCUGGGCUGUUGGCUGCCAGUCCGCCUGCGUUAUCAGAGGCUGCAGACACUGCCCUGCCUGGUGGGAGGCAGGGAAGCUAGGCCUACCUAUCCGAGGCUCUGUGCUGCCUUUGACCCUCCCACUCAGUCUCCUCCCAGCAAGUGGAGUGGCCUGGCCUGCCUGGAGCAGGAGAGGCACCAAAGGCAGGGAUCCCAGGGACAGGCUGAGUGGAGGAGGCCAGACCAGGACAUAGAAGACAAUACACUCCAGGUCCCGGAGGUACUAGUGCCCCUCAGGAAACAGCUAGAAGCACAAGAAUCACAUCCCAGGCUUUGUGAGGAGAUGGCUGAGUACUGGAGGACACGCUGGCACCAGGUGGCAGUUGCCCUGAAAUUUAAAGAGGAGGAACUGCAAAGACUCCAGAUGCAGAGUGGGACCUGGCCUCCCCAGGGCAGACCCCAGCAGAGACCCCAGGCCAGCCUCCAGAUUCUGCAAAGGGAAGGAGCUGUGGGACCCAGGUCUGCCAAGGAACUGGAGUCUGCAGUGUGGACUCCACCAGAGGCCAAUGGCCUCAGCUUGUGGAUCCAGAGCUGGGUACUGAGCCGUACUGGACCAGCGGGCCCUCUCCUGGGAUCGCUGGACUUGGAGCAGAAGAGACCCUCCAGGACUGAAGACUGGACACACAAAACUUGGGAAUUGUCAACUGACCUAUUAUUCACCUCGUGA
rnacentral:lncRNA from 1 species